rnacentral:rRNA from 1 species
UACGGAGGGGGCGAGCGUUAUUCGGAAUUAUUGGGCGUAAAGGGCGCGUAGGCGGCUUGACAAGUCAAAGGUGAAAUCUCCCGGCUCAACUGGGAGGGUGCGCCGAAUACUGAGGGACUAGAGUACGGGAGAGGAAAGUGGAAUUCCUGGUGUAGCGGUGAAAUGCGUAGAUAUCAGGAGGAACACCGGUGGUGUAGACGGCUUUCUGGACCGACACUGACGCUGAGACACGAAAGCGUGGGUAGCAAACAGG